AAUGGGUGGUAAAUGCCAUCUAAGGCUAAAUAUUGGGGAGAGACCGAUAGCGAACAAGUACAGUGAUGGAAAGAUGAAAAGAACUUUGAAAAGAGAGUUAAACAGUACGUGAAAUUGCCAAAAGGGAAGGGUAGGAGGUCAGAGAUGCGUCUUGGGAUUCAGCCUUGCUUUUUGCAUGGUGUUUUUCCCAAGUUGCAGGCCAACGUCGGUUUUGGGCACUGGAGAAGGGUGGAAGGAACGUGGCACCUCUCGGGGUGUGUUAUAGCCUUCUACUGGAUACAGCGACC
rnacentral:rRNA from 1 species